AUGGCACCACUGCAAGCACGGCUCCACGAUCAGAUCAAAGAUAGCAUGGUUUUGAUCAACAUCAAGCCACCCAAAAAAGCAUCAGUAGGAAAAAAUAAAAAUGAUAAAGGGAUUUUUGUUAUGGGUACUAUUAUUGUUCUACAACCCUACUUUAUGUAUGUUGUGGCGGAUCCUGCUUCUUUUCAUGGAGAAGGUCAAUUGAAGCUCCUGAUUGACUGUCUUGAGGGAACAAAGCUGGAACUUACUAGACCGCAGAUACAUUUGACUGAAGGUAUUGCUGGGAUCCGCUGUCCCAACCCUGGUGGGUACAACACACAACUCAUGAGGGCAGUUCCUUUAUGUCGAAGUGUCAUUGCAAAGCGCCAGCGCGUCCAUCUCUUCAGUCCGGAACAGAUGCUGCUCACUUCUGGUACAGUAAUGGGAGUCAGUGGCCCGACUUUCCAGCAUAAUUGCUCUACGCUCGAAUCGUCGUCGCUUGGGGCACCCGUUGUUAAUGACAAUGGUCAUCUGGUUGGGAUAUGUAACGAUUUCAGAAAUGAUUACCUUGAGGCUAUAAGCACUCAUGCAAUUGCGUCUGAAAUUGAGAUGGCCCAAGGAAGGGAAUACAUAGGCAUUGGCCAGAUGUUGGAUCAUUUGCAAAGCUAG
rnacentral:rRNA from 1 species